GCACCUAUGGUCUAAUGGUAAGGGCUCUCGUUGUGGCUUGACCACCCGAGGAUACCAAGUUCAAAUCUUGGUAGGUGCG
rnacentral:tRNA from 1 species